rnacentral:lncRNA from 1 species
AACUCUUUUAUUAUAAUUAUGGUUCAUGUAUCUGAGAAAUAUGUAAAUGUUCCGAAAAAAGGUAACAUUAAAUCAAAGUUUCAACAUCUAAAUCGACAUCGACAUAAAGAUAAUUGUUAUGGACCAAAUCUCCCUGUUUCUAAAAUAAAUCUUUGUACAACUUUAAAAAUAUUUUCGUUUUCCUCAUCACUGAUGAGUUCACUACCUGAUACUAAUGUUUG